GACGAACGCUGGCGGCGUGCUUAACACAUGCAAGUCGAACGGAAAGGCCCUGCUUUUGUGGGGUGCUCGAGUGGCGAACGGGUGAGUAACACGUGAGUAACCUGCCCUUGACUUUGGGAUAACUUCAGGAAACUGGGGCUAAUACCGGAUAGGAGCUCCUGCUGCAUGGUGGGGGUUGGAAAGUUUCGGCGGUUGGGGAUGGACUCGCGGCUUAUCAGCUUGUUGGUGGGGUAGUGGCUUACCAAGGCUUUGACGGGUAGCCGGCCUUAGAGGGUGACCGGCCACAUGGGGACUGAGAUACGGCCCAGACUCCUACGGGAGGCAGCAGUGGGGAAUAUUGCACAAUGGGCGGAAGCCUGAUGCAGCAACGCCGCGUGCGGGAUGACGGCCUUCGGGUUGUAAACCGCUUUCGCCGGUGACGAAGCGUGAGUGACGGUAAUGGGUAAAGAAGCACCGGCUAACUACGUG
rnacentral:rRNA from 1 species